GGGUAAGGGUGUCCCAAUUCUCAUUUGGGUUAAGGGGUAGGGCGAAGACAAAAGGCUACGUAGCCCUUGAAACGAAGCUAUCCAAGGACCACACUUUAAAGGGAGGGCUUCGAGGAAAAUCCGGCCGAAAAUGCAUUUUUACUAGUUGUUAUCAUUUGGACUCAUGAUGUAAAGUUGACUGUAGCCUAUAUUCAGCUCAAAGUCAUACACGGACAAUGCGAUCUCUGAGCUCGAUAUAAAACAUGACAUAACGGUAAAUAACCGUUGAACUACGCAUACAAGAUUUUGGCGCUCUCUAGUGGCCAACCGAAAUCGCCAAAUAAACAAACAGCAGCGAUGGCUCAAGCGAAGGACACGCACAAAUGGACACCACAGGAGACCAGACGGCUCAUUAAUUUCAGGGCGACCAGGGACAAUGAGUUCCUAAAAUCGAAAAUGAUCGCCAGAAAACAGUGGGAGCUUUUUCUGGAAGAAAUGGGGGUGGAGGGGAAAGUGAUCAGGCAACAGGCUUCUAAGAAGUGGGAGAACCUUAAAAAGAAGUACAAGACCCGCUCUAUCACAGAACGCACCUUGGAUUGGCGGUAAUUAAAGCGCUGCUGCACCCGCCCAAUCACCGGCUCUUUAUAGGGAGUCAACAGACAUACGGGCGUCUGGAGGCAGGGGUACCCACCAUCACCUAAAAGCAUGUAACCCGGCGGUGGAUACCUGGCAGUCAAAUAAAAAGAACUGUUUUUCAUUACCCUUGUCCUUUAUGUUUCUUGGACGGAAUGUAACUGAUAAUUUCGUUGCUCUGUAACAUGUGCAAUGACAACAAAUAAAAUCCUAUCCUAUCCUAUCCUAUGGCAAUGUUUUGAUAUGUUGAGGGGAGUGUCUUAUGUCUGCAUUUAUUUGAAAGAGCAUAUGCACAGAAAAGCAGACGGACGGAGUUACAAUGGAG
ensembl:lncRNA